CUCCGAUCUGCUCCGAACAUUUAAGACCUCUUUUUAAGAGCUUCAUUUGGGCCUGAGAUUAUAUACUACUAUAGUAAUCUGUGAUUUGGGCUAAAGUUUACACCACGUGUCUGGAAGAUCCUACCGAAGAUGGCAGGGAGACCCGAAAUCGAAUUCGACAUUGAACGUGCAAAGGAAAUGAUAAAACUCCAGUUUACCAUGGCAGAUACUGUAUAUAGCGAGGGCUUUCGGAGUGAAUCUCAUGGGUCAUCUCAGAUCAAGAGGUAUCAGAAUUCAACGCGCACGCCUUUGGAAAGCAUUACAAGCUGUCGACCCAACCGGGGUACAGAGAAGACGAACGAGAACUAUCACCAGACGAAUUUAUUCUGUUCCAUGCCCGAACUACCUCUGGCAUAUAGAUGGGACACACAAAAUGAUUAGGUGGAAGUUUGUCAUACAUGCCGGCAUUGAUGGAUUUUCCCGAUUGAUUACUUACCUGCAUUGUAGUGACAACAACACUGCUGAAACUGUGUUGAGAUUAUUUGAGUCGGCGGUUAACCGGUAUGGUUUGCCUAUACGAGUGAGGUCGGAUCAUGGUGGUUAAAAUCAAGGUGUUUGGGGGAAAAUGUUUGCAGAAAGAGGAGAAACAAUUAAUAACCCUGUCAUUCUUGGGUCGUCUGUCAAUGAACGCGUAGAACGAUUAAAUUACGAUAUAAAUAAUCAAGUAGUUUCUUAUUUUAAAUGUAUUUUAAAGAAUUAGAGCGCAAUGGUUUGUUAGACCCCGAUAACGCCACUGAUUUAUUCUGUCUUCAUUAUGUUUUCCUACCGAUAAUCGACAAACACCUACACGAGUUUGAAGCGUGUCACAACAACCACAAUAUAUCUACAGAGGGCAACCGGACACCAAUCCAACUGUUUUACAGUAAUCAACAUUUGAUACAACUUCAUGAAAAUCAACACAUUAAAAGGAGAAAACACUUUAUAAAUAUAAAAUUCAUUGCUAAAGGCCUGUUACCAAAAAUUUUAUAUAAAGAAACAUAAAUUAAUUGAUUAUAAUAAACAAAAUUGUAUUUUAAUAAAAGCAGAUUAUUUAACAUAUUAAGGUAUUAUUUACCUAA